GCUAGGGUGCCAGGGGGCGGGGCCUGCUCUCCACACUUUUCCCUAAUUCCCCACUUCCCUCCGAGUCCUCUCUCACCUUUUCUCCAUCACCCUGCCUCCGACAACAGACAACAGUCAGCUUUGAGGUUGGCGGGGUCCGCUGUGGCUGCAGCUCUGCUCUUCCCUCUGAUAGAACUCCCCCUGUGUCCACCUCAGCGGCCCCUGGCCGACCGCCCACACCGUGCAGCUCAAGCCCAGAGCCACGGGCCCAAGGGAAUGCCCAGGCGCGGGUGCCCACGGUGUCCCCCAGGCCUCUCCAGGGCCCUCCAGCCUCCUGGAGACUCUGCUUGUGAGGAGGCACAGCUGGGAACAGAGGACCCUGGAGCCCAAAGUUGCAGGACAGGAGAGGGGCCUGGGGUCAGGGAGGUGGUACUCACCCUUGGCCGGGAGGGGCUUCUCCCUUGGAUGGAAACCCAGCCUUCAUUUUAAUAAAAGGGCUACUAAUGCGUGUUAGGCUCUCUGGGGUGGGUUGUUCUGUAAUGAAAUGAAGACCUUGUUUAGCGCCUCUGGACAAGGCUUAUGCUUUCUUUAUGGAAUCUUCGGGCUUUAGAGCUGAACAGAACUCAAGCCAUCACUGUGCUCUCCCAGCCAUCCACCCAGGGGCCCUGGGUGCCAGGAGGUUCUGCAUUUAACCAGAAGAUUCUGCUGAAUGAAGAAUAUUCGACGUAUUCCUUUGUGUCUUCACAUGCCUCCAAGGUUGAAUUUCUGGGACUCAGAAAUACAGAUACAGCAGCAUCUCCCAUUUCACGGAUGAGGUCUUACCAGGAGCACAGUCUCAAGGACUUAACUUGUCUCCAGCUUGGUCUUGGAAAGAAAUAUUUUAUCCCCGGGUGCAAACACAGAAAACAGGUA